AAAAAAAAAGACUUGGGGUGGGGACAGGUUACUAAUGCGAUAAAUGCCGUCUCACCUGUAUGUAGAGCUACUGCAGAAGUGAAGAAAAAGUGGUUUGAUUUGAAAGUGUCCUCUAAAAAAAGAAUUGCAGCCCACAAAAGAGACCUCGGUGCCACGGGAGGAGGCCAGAGUCUUAUUUCAGUGUCACCAUUGGAUGACAAGAUAGCGUCAAUUAUUGGUGAAACGUCAGUGAGCGGAGUAAUCCCCGAUGGUGACACUGAAAGUGCAAUUCCAUCAACUGCAGGAGACGCCGAGCCAUCCGAAAAUGAUCUGCCAGUUUUGCCAGGUCCUGCUCCGCCUGCCACUUCAGCACGUCCGAUGCGUCUCGAGGCACGAGUCCUGACUGAUGCGGUUCUGAAAACACAGGAGGAAUUAGUGAGAGGCAUUGCAAGCAUAAAAGAAGAACUGCACCAAAUCAAUGUGAACUUGAGGAACAUUUGUGAUGCACUAAAUGCAUCAUGCAAGUUCAAUAAAAGCUCCAAUUGAUCUCA